rnacentral:rRNA from 1 species
UACAGAGGGGGCAAGCGUUGUUCGGAAUUACUGGGCGUAAAGGGCGCGUAGGCGGCCUGUUAAGUCGAACGUGAAAUCCCCGGGCUCAACCCGGGAACUGCGUCCGAUACUGGCAGGCUUGAAUCCGGGAGAGGGAUGCGGAAUUCCAGGUGUAGCGGUGAAAUGCGUAGAUAUCGAGAGGAACACCUGCGGCGAAGGCGGGUUGCUGGGCUGACACUGACGCUGAACUGCGAAAGCUAGGGGAGCGAACGGG